UACCAUGAAAUCACAGUGAAUUUGCCUUUUCCUCAGGAAAGGUCUCCACUGAGAUAGAAAAAGCAAAGGAAGUUCUAGCGCCCCCUGCAGGCCCAAAUUGCCAGUGACUGCUGGGACUAACCUCUCAAAUGAUUUCCCUCAAAGAAAAUUCCCUCAUCCUCCCAAUCUGGCGGCAGUUUGGGUCUUCCUUAGACCAAAGGAAGGAAGACUUGAGCUUUGGGUUCUCAGCGUCUCCCAUCCUCUGUUCUACAUCCCCAAAAGAAAAACCAGUCUGAUUUUCCCAGGAACUGGGGACUUCCAUUUUCUGGUCUCAAACUGCACUUCCAAAACAAAGUAAAGCUCAGGAAAUUCUCUUCUUUGAGAAUUAAAAAACUGGCCUAAUGGCAGUCCCUUGGAGUCUCUGUAUCUUGAACAGAAUGGGUGCUCAACAAACACCCAUGAUGGUCCUCUUUGAUCCUUAGGCCAUCACGGCCCGAUUGUUGUUAGGGCCUACAGCGAUCAUCUUUGGUGUUUCUGAUUUUUUCCCCCUUUAAG
rnacentral:lncRNA from 1 species